rfam:Schistosoma rodhaini strain Burundi genome assembly, scaffold: SROB_contig0006878
AUUCAGCUGACGAGUCCCAAUCUGGACGAAACGCGUGUCCUGUAU